UAAGAGGAAAAGGCUUUCUUCAGUGAACCUACAAUCAUCAGGUUUAACAAGUUUAACUGGGUAUAUGCAAUUCUGAAAUAGGCUUCAAUAUCACAAAAUUAUUAUCAACAUUAUGGUAACAUAUAACACUAUUCCAAAUAAACAGAACAUGAAGAUAAGAAAAGAACCCCCUUCCCCUCAAGAAAAGAAAGAAAGAAACAUGGAGAGUUGGAUUUUACAAAAUUUCCAUUUCUACCCAGACAUAAUAGAGAGAGAAAGGAGGACUCCCCAGACACGCUAAUACAGUCCGGCCCACCUCUCCAAAACAAAAUAAACAAAUGACACCCCUCCCCCUACAAACACCUUUCUGUAGCAAGGUAAAUCAUGAAUAAAUUAAGCGAAA